GAGUUUGAUACAUGGCUCAGAUUGAACGCUGGCGGCAGGCCUAACACAUGCAAGCCGAGCGGUAGCACAGAGAGCUUGCUCUCGGGUGACGAGCGGCGGACGGGUGAGUAAUGUCUGGGAAACUGCCUGAUGGAGGGGGAUAACUACUGGAAACGGUAGCUAAUACCGCAUAACGUCGCAAGACCAAAGAGGGGGACCUUCGGGCCUCUUGCCAUCAGAUGUGCCCAGAUGGGAUUAGCUAGUAGGUGGGGUAACGGCUCACCUAGGCGACGAUCCCUAGCUGGUCUGAGAGGAUGACCAGCCACACUGGAACUGAGACACGGUCCAGACUCCUACGGGAGGCAGCAGUGGGGAAUAUUGCACAAUGGGCGCAAGCCUGAUGCAGCCAUGCCGCGUGUGUGAAGAAGGCCUUCGGGUUGUAAAGCACUUUCAGCGAGGAGGAAGGGUUCAGUGUUAAUAGCACUGUGCAUUGACGUUACUCGCAGAAGAAGCACCGGCUAACUCCGUGCCAGCAGCCGCGGUAAUACGGAGCGGUGCAAGCGUUAAUCGGAAUUACUGGGCGUAAAGCGCACGCAGGCGGUUUGUUAAGUCAGAUGUGAAAUCCCCGCGCUUAGCGUGGGAACUGCAUUUGAAACUGGCAAGCUAGAGUCUUGUAGAGGGGGGUAGAAUUCCAGGUGUAGCGGUGAAAUGCGUAGAGAUCUGGAGGAAUACCGGUGGCGAAGGCGGCCCCCUGGACAAAGACUGACGCUCAGGUGCGAAAGCGUGGGGAGCAAACAGGAUUAGAUACCCUGGUAGUCCACGCUGUAAACGAUGUCGACUUGGAGGUUGUGCCCUUGAGGCGUGGCUUCCGGAGCUAACGCGUUAAGUCGACCGCCUGGGGAGUACGGCCGCAAGGUUAAAACUCAAAUGAAUUGACGGGGGCCCGCACAAGCGGUGGAGCAUGUGGUUUAAUUCGAUGCAACGCGAAGAACCUUACCUACUCUUGACAUCCACAGAAUUCGCUAGAGAUAGCUUAGUGCCUUCGGGAACUGUGAGACAGGUGCUGCAUGGCUGUCGUCAGCUCGUGUUGUGAAAUGUUGGGUUAAGUCCCGCAACGAGCGCAACCCUUAUCCUUUGUUGCCAGCACGUAAUGGUGGGAACUCAAAGGAGACUGCCGGUGAUAAACCGGAGGAAGGUGGGGAUGACGUCAAGUCAUCAUGGCCCUUACGAGUAGGGCUACACACGUGCUACAAUGGCGUAUACAAAGAGAAGCGAACUCGCGAGAGCCAGCGGACCUCAUAAAGUACGUCGUAGUCCGGAUCGGAGUCUGCAACUCGACUCCGUGAAGUCGGAAUCGCUAGUAAUCGUAGAUCAGAAUGCUACGGUGAAUACGUUCCCGGGCCUUGUACACACCGCCCGUCACACCAUGGGAGUGGGUUGCAAAAGAAGUAGGUAGCUUAACCUUCGGGAGGGCGCUUACCACUUUGUGAUUCAUGACUGGGGUGAAGUCGUAACAAGGUAAC
rnacentral:rRNA from 1 species